CCUACGGGAGGCAGCAGUGGGGAAUAUUGCGCAAUGGGCGAAAGCCUGACGCAGCGACGCCGCGUGAGGGAUGAAGGUCUUCGGAUCGUAAACCUCUGUCAGCAGGGAAGAACGGUCACUGUGCUAAUCAGCAGUGCAUUGACGGUACCUGCAAAGGCAGCACCGGCUAACUCCGUGACAGCAGCCGCGGUAAUACGGAGGGGACGAGCGUUAAUCGGAAUUAUUGGGAGUAAAGCGCUAGUGGGCGGUAUGUCAAGUCAAGGGUGAAAUCCCCGCGCUCAACGGGGGAAAUGCCUUUGAAACUGGCAAACUUGAGUGUGUGAGAGGAUAGUGGAAUUCCAGGUGUAGGAGUGAAAUCCGUAGAUAUCUGGAGGAACAUCAGUGGCGAAGGCGACUAUCUGGUACAUAACUGACGCUGAGGAGCGAAAGCGUGGGUAGCAAACAGGAUUAGAUACCCUGGUAGUC
rnacentral:rRNA from 1 species